GCAGUCGAGGGGUAACAUAGGGGUGCUUGCACCCUUGAUGACGACCGGCGCACGGGUGAGUAACGCGUAUACAAUCUGCCUUGUACAGGAGUAUAGCCCAGGGAAACUUGGAUUAAUCCUCCAUAGCCUAUAUAAAUAGCAUUAUUAAUAUAGUAAAGAUUUAUCGGUACAAGAUGAGUAUGCGUCCUAUUAGUCUGUUGGUAAGGUAACGGCUUACCAAAACUACGAUAGGUAGGGGCCCUGAGAGGGGGAUCCCCCACACUGGUACUGAGACACGGACCAGACUCCUACGGGAGGCAGCAGUGAGGAAUAUUGGACAAUGGGUGAGAGCCUGAUCCAGCCAUGCCGCGUGCAGGAAGACGGCCCUAUGGGUUGUAAACUGCUUUUAUACGGGAAGAAACCCCCCAACGUGUUGGGGGCUGACGGUACCGUAAGAAUAAGGACCGGCUAACUCCGUGCCAGCAGCCGCGGUAAUACGGAGGGUCCGAGCGUUAUCCGGAAUCAUUGGGUUUAAAGGGUCCGUAGGCGGGCAGCUCAGUCAGUGGUGAAAGUUUGCGGCUUAACCGUAAAAUUGCCAUUGAUACUGGUUGUCUUGAAUUGGUGUGAAGUGGUUAGAAUGAGUAGUGUAGCGGUGAAAUGCAUAGAUAUUACUCAGAAUACCGAUUGCGAAGGCAGAUCACUAACACUAUAUUGACGCUGAGGGACGAAAGCGUGGGGAGCGAACAGGAUUAGAUACCCUGGUAGUCCACGCCGUAAACGAUGGUUACUAGCUGUUGGGCCGAUUGGGGCUCAGUGGCCAAGCGAAAGUGAUAAGUAACCCACCUGGGGAGUACGUUCGCAAGAAUGAAACUCAAAGG
rnacentral:rRNA from 1 species